GAUGAACGCUGGCGGCGUGCCUAAUACAUGCAAGUCGAGCGAACAGACGAGGAGCUUGCUCCUUCGACGUUAGCGGCGGACGGGUGAGUAACACGUAGGUAACCUACCUAUAAGACUGGGAUAACUUCGGGAAACCGGAGCUAAUACCGGAUAAUAUUUCGAACCGCAUGGUUCGAUAGUGAAAGAUGGCUUUGCUAUCACUUAUAGAUGGACCUGCGCCGUAUUAGCUAGUUGGUAAGGUAACGGCUUACCAAGGCAACGAUACGUAGCCGACCUGAGAGGGUGAUCGGCCACACUGGAACUGAGACACGGUCCAGACUCCUACGGGAGGCAGCAGUAGGGAAUCUUCUGCAAUGGGCGAAAGCCUGACGGAGCAACGCCGCGUGAGUGAUGAAGGUCUUCGGAUCGUAAAACUCUGUUAUUAGGGAAGAACAAACGUGUAAGUAACUGUGCACGUCUUGACGGUACCUAAUCAGAAAGCCACGGCUAACUACGUG
rnacentral:rRNA from 1 species